GCCGCGUGAGUGAUGACGGCCUUCUGGUUGUAAAGCUGUUUUUUUGGGGACGAAAAUGGCGGUACCUGAGGCGUAUUCCACGGCCCAUUACUUGACGGCCCCCCUGGUUCUGUGCCGAGCCGCCGCGGUAAU
rnacentral:rRNA from 1 species